AGAUUGCAGGCUGCAACUCGCCUGCAUGAAGUCGGAAUUGCUAGUAAUCGUAGGUCAGCAUACUACGGUGAAUACGUUCCCGGGCCUUGUACACACCGCCCGUCAAACCAUGAGAGUUGGCAACACCCGAAGUCGGUAGUCUAACCGCAAGGAGGGCGCGGCCGAAGGUGGGUCCGGUAAUUGGGGGUGAAGUCGUAACAAGGUAAC
rnacentral:rRNA from 1 species